rnacentral:rRNA from 1 species
GACGAACGCUGGCGGCGUGCCUAAUACAUGCAAGUAGAACGCUGAAACUUGGUGCUUGCACCGAGCGGAUGAGUUGCGAACGGGUGAGUAACGCGUAGGUAACCUGCCUGGUAGCGGGGGAUAACUAUUGGAAACGAUAGCUAAUACCGCAUAAGAGUAGAUGUUGCAUGACAUUUGCUUAAAAGGUGCAAUUGCACCACUACCAGAUGGACCUGCGUUGUAUUAGCUAGUUGGUGGGGUAACGGCUCACCAAGGCGACGAUACAUAGCCGACCUGAGAGGGUGAUCGGCCACACUGGGACUGAGACACGGCCCAGACUCCUACGGGAGGCAGCAGUAGGGAAUCUUCGGCAAUGGACGGAAGUCUGACCGAGCAACGCCGCGUGAGUGAAGAAGGUUUUCGGAUCGUAAAGCUCUGUUGUAAGAGAAGAACGAGUGCGAGAGUGGAAAGUUCACACUGUGACGGUAUCUUACCAGAAAGGGACGGCUAACUACGUG